rnacentral:rRNA from 1 species
UACGGGGGGUGCGAGCGUUGUCCGGAAUCACUGGGCGUAAAGGGCGCGUAGGUGGUUUGAUAAGGGUGUGGUGAAAGUCCGGAGCUCAACUCCGGAUCUGCCGUGCCGACUGUCAAACUCGAGGGCUGUAGAGGCAGACGGAAUUCCGGGUGUAGCGGUGGAAUGCGUAGAGAUCCGGAGGAAGACCGGUGGCGAAGGCGGGUCUCUGGGCCGUAACUGACGCUGGAGGAGCGAAAGCGUGGGGAGCGAACAGG